rnacentral:lncRNA from 1 species
CAAUCUUCUAUCAAACCCCACUCUUUGAUCUGCCAAAGAAUCCUUGAGUCGCCGUCAAAGCGCGGUUUUGUGCCUUGGGGUCUGAUUUUGACCCACGUUCAUAACCGGUCCUCUUUGGGUAUCAACUUUCGUCUUCUUGAGGUAAUUUUUACUAAUUUUUACUCCUAACUCCUUCCUACAUAUGCCUAUAUCCUUUAUUUUUUUAAUCUACCUUGUUUUGCCUUAUUUUUGGCCUUAUAAAGUAAAUAGAAGCAUAAUUUGUAAAUAGGCAGCAUUAGCACCUUUAAUUUUUCUAUCCUUUCACUAAUAUCUAUUUUUCCAGGAUAAUUUGUUAUAAUAUUUUUGAAGUGAGAUCCUCAAAACAUGAUAUUUUCUUCACCCUUUCACUUGUUAUCUAUGUUACAUCACGACACCAUACACGUGCGCUAUAUCCAAAAGAGUGACAGUAGGUACAAAAUCAACAUCCUAACUUUGAGCGCCCAUAUCUAUUUCAUAUAAACUCCAAAUCAAACAUAAUUUGUACCAAAACCAUGGCCAAAAACCUAAAAUUGCUGAUUUUAGCCUUCAAAGCUCGAAUGCCUCUGAUAAAUUAACCCUAAUCUCUAAUAUGGCC